GACGAACGCUGGCGGCGUGCUUAACACAUGCAAGUCGAGCGGUAAGGCCCUUUCGGGGGUACGACGAGCGGCGAACGGGUGAGUAACACGUGGGUGACCUGCCCUCAGCUCUGGGAUAAGCCUGGGAAACCGGGUCUAAUACCGGAUAUGACUCCAUGACGCAUGUUGUGGGGUGGAAAGCCUUGUGCGGCUGAGGAUGGGCCCGCGGCCUAUCAGCUUGUUGGUGGGGGAUGGCCUACCAAGGCGACGACGGGUAGCCGGCCUGAGAGGGCGACUGGCCACACUGGGACUGAGACACGGCCCAGACUCCUACGGGAGGCAGCAGUGGGAAUCUUGCGCAAUGGGCGAAAGCCUGACGCAGCGACGCCGCGUGAGGGAUGACGCU
rnacentral:rRNA from 1 species